rnacentral:rRNA from 1 species
GGAGCUGAAAGCUUAAUGUGCCUGAGGAUGAACUCGCGUCUGAUUAGCUAGUUGGUGGGGUAAGAGCUUACCAAGGCGACGAUCAGUAGCUGUUCUGAGAGGAAGAUCAGCCACACUGGGACUGAGACACGGCCCAGACUCCUACGGGAGGCAGCAGUGGGGAAUUUUCCGCAAUGGGCGCAAGCCUGACGGAGCAACGCCGCGUGAGGGAGGAAUGUCUGUGGAUUGUAAACCUCUUUUCUCUGGGAAGAAGAUCUGACGGUACCAGAGGAAUCAGCAUCGGCUA